UAAAUAAAGAAGCGGAGGAGCCAUCGGUCUCUUUUGGUGGUGAGCGGCGGCGUGAGGAGGCCUGUCGUGCUGCCCCGCGGCCCAACCCCGCCCGCUGCCGCUACGCUGAAGGUUUGUAGUUGAAUGUCAGCAGCUGUGUCUGCAGUGACGGUGAGUAUGUACUGAGCACAGCAGUGUGAGUGGUGGCAGAAAGGUGAAUGUGACUGAGGGGUGCGAUCCAACCUGGCCUGUGGAGUUUGGAGCAGUGUGGAAGGGGCUGUCGGGGGGUAUCAGACCACGUGCUUCACGCUGCUCCUUGCCCCCACUCCAAGCAGUGCUGAUACAGAGGUGCCCCUUGCUGCACCUGGGGUUUGCGGGGACUGAGCCCGUGUGAGUGAGCUGUGUGUGAGGAGAGCAUACAGGAGCCUCUGGGCUCGGUGGGUGCCUCGUUAUACCGGCUGGGAGAAGCAGAUCUUUGAGCAGCACCGUGUGCUCCUCCACCCAACGAGGAGGCUGAGAAGCAGAGGCAGCUGCUGAGGAAGAACCGGUGCUGGGGAGGAGGGCUGCAGUGGGAAUGUGCUGUGUGAGAUGGGCACAGCGGGUGCUGCGUGUCCGUUUGGGGAGGUCCGAAUUUCCUCUGUGAGUGUUCUGAGACACAUCUGCAUCAGUGCCUGACAAAUAAAUGACUUUUGAAACGCU